rnacentral:rRNA from 1 species
AUUGAACGCUAGCGGGAUGCUUUACACAUGCAAGUCGAACGAAUGGCGGACGGGUGAGUAAUAUAACGGCACGUGCCCAGUAUCGGGGGAUAACUACUCGAACGAGUGGCUACUACCGCAUACUAUUGGAGCGGCCGAUAUAGGAUUAGCUAGUUGGUGGGGUAAAGGCUCACCAAGGCAACGAUCCGUAGCUGGUUUGAGAGGCCGACCAGCCACACUGGUACUGAGACACGGCCCAGACUCCUACGGGAGGCAGCAGUGGGGAAUUUUGGAAAAUGGGGGAAACCCUGAUCGAGCCAUCCCGCGUGUAUGAGAAGGCCUUCGGGUUGUAAAGUACUUUUGGCAGAGAAGCGGUAUCUGCAGAAUAAGCACCGACUAACUACGUGCCAGCAGCCGCGGUAAUAC